rnacentral:rRNA from 1 species
UACGUAGGGGGCAAGCGUUGUCCGGAUUUAUUGGGCGUAAAGAGCGUGUAGGCGGCCAGGUAGGUCUGCUGUGAAAACUCGAGGCUUAACCUCGAGCUGUCGGCGGAAACCAUCUGGCUAGAGUUCGGAAGAGGAGAAUGGAAUUCCCGGUGUAGCGGUGAAAUGCGCAGAUAUCGGGAAGAACACCCGUGGCGAAGGCGGCUCUCUGGGACGGUACUGACGCUGAGACGCGAAAGCGUGGGGAGCGAACAGG